AUCAGAGGAAGCCGCCGGGGCCGCCUGGAGAAGAGACUGUACUCUGGGGCUGCUGCUCCUCAGAGAGCCUCGGCUAGGUAGGGGGACGGAGCUGUGGGAGGGGGAGGCCCGGUGGAUUGGGGGUGGGUGGUUAAGUUCGUCUGACCGGUGGGCGGGGGUCUUCUUCUCCCGCGGGGAGUCGGGCAUAUAACAUUUGUUACGCUGGAAAGGGGAGAGGUGGUUAGAGGCAAGCGGGCAUACAGCCCGCCCUGCGACAACCGGAGGGGGAGGGAGAAAGGAGCGGAAAAGAAUCUGGACGGAGCCAUUACUCCUGCAGAGGGACGAUCGCUUCCGGCUCGCCUCUCAUCACUGAUAGGCCGCUUCUCCUCCCGCCGCGUGUGAAAACCCAAAUGGCGUGUUUUGGUUGGUGUAAAGCUCUUGUCAGUUACAGCCUUGGGAGUGCGCAGCCGCGGCGGGGCUCUCGCGAUGCUCCCUGGUUGGAUGGGUAGGUAGGUGGAGUGGAGAGUUGGACUAGCGGGCGCGGUCGGCCUCCAGCGGGGGGAGAAGAAGGGAGGGUCAGUGAAAGUGGCUCUCGCGCGGGCAUCCUGCUGCCCUCCCCUUCCUUCUGUGGAGUCGGUUUACCCGCCGCCUGAUCGGCUUCCCCAUCUCAUUGGCUGCUGAAGCUCGGGGAACAGCCCUUUGCUAUUGGCGCGGAUCCCAAAUGAGCGAAACCACUGCGGGUCGAUGGGGGAAGCGGGGAGGCGUUCGUUGGUACGGCCCUCCCUGAGGCCCAGCGCCGCAGUGUCUGGCCCCGCGCCCCUGCGCAACGUGGCAGGAAACGCUCGCUGGAGGCGGGGGGCGGGCUGCCGGCCGAUGCUUCUGGGUGGCUAUGGUCGCGGCUCCGCCCCGCGUGGCUGCCGACUAAAAGGGCGAGACUGGCCCGACUUGCUCCGGAACCUGUGGGGGUGGCGGAAGGAGCGGGGAUCGGUCCUGCUGGUUUGUAGGAGGGAGGCGCAGGUCCUCCAAAAAUCGGCGCGAGCUGCAAUCCUGAGGGCGUGCAGUGGAAGAGGCGGAGAGAAGGCCGCACCCUUCUGAAUAGGGGGAGGGGAGUGCCGCAAUACCUUUAUGGGAGUUCUCUGCUGUCUCCUGUCUUCUAAGGACCGCCCUGGGCCUAGAAGAAUCCCUCCCUCCCGCGUGAUCUCGUCAUCGCCUCCAUGUCGAGUCCGAUUAUGGGCGGGAUUCUUUUGCUUAGGCUUAACCUGGUGCCUGGGCGUUGUCCUGUUUGGGAUUGCGCAGGUUUAAGAUUUUGAUGGCGAGCCAAAUUUCUCUUCCCACAGAUUCAAGUUUGUAUCACAAAGUAAUUGUGAUAGGGUUGGAGGAGGGAAAUGAAGUCCAGGUAAUCAUGUGGGACCGAUUUUAUGCAGCAAGACUGCAUAUUUUACUCCUUAAGAUCUUUCUGCGAUAUUUUACAGGAGAUUAAAGGAGAUAGAUUAAAGACGUUAUCACCCAAGUUUUUUACUCACCCCAUUUGAGACCCUUGGCUAUGCCAUCAGAGUAUAGUAGCAUGCCUGGUUUAGUCUUAAAGGCCCCUUCCUUGCAUCCCUAGGGUCAGGUAUCUUGGCAACUCUCCCUCAAUACUUUGAGCCCAUUUUCUCUAUGUUGUACUUGCUCAUCCACGACCCAGAUAUACCAUUUCCCUUUUCCUUUCCUGUUUUUGGUAGCCUGAUGAGUCAUAACCAUACAGGUAGUUCCACCACCAAUUAAGGCUGCCCAACCUGAGCAGAGGCCUCACUCUUAGUUAGCAAUGAGUUUAUUCCAUUAUGAAUUUUCUUGAAUGCUUGCUUUGCUUUUCAUUUCAUCCUUUUCCCUCAGCUAGAUAGGAUUCUACCCCUGACCCUCUUCACAGUCUGGGUGUCCCUGACUGAUGCUUUAACUGAGAAUUGAGUAAAAGGUUCAGCAAUAUCUUUUACCUUCUGGACUGACUACCUCUCAGUCCGUCUCUUUUUAUCUGUUCCCAGUCAGUAACAGUUGAGUUGCCAUGAUGCCAAUAGCCUCCAAACUGUUGUCUCUGCGUCCAGUAUCACUGUCUGAUCGUCUUAUGUGUUGACAGAACUACUGUCGUAACAGCAUGAAAAUGACUGUUGCAAUUCCUUUACCGGCUCCUAACUACUUACAGGAUGAAUGCCAUCAUCGCCAGUGUGAUCUAGAAGGCCCCUCAGUGGAUUAUAGCCUCCUUUUAAUAGCUUUUUCAUUUGCCACAAUUUUCCACAUACACACACACACACUACCUCUACCCAGGUGACCUUGAAUUGAUCGUGUUCACUCAAAUCAGUGACUUUGUCAUACCUCUGCAAGGUGGUACUACCUUCUGGCAUCAAGCUAUCCUUGAUGCUUCUUACUCUUCAAGACUGUUAAAGACUCAAAUAUCCCCUGUGAUCUUGCCUUCUGUGAUCCUUUGUCCUAUGAGCCAGACUCCCCUAUAAAAAAGCAGUUUUCUCCUUAUCCCAUAGCAGGUUGAAUCACAACACUUUUCAGGCUGUUGUCUUUGCUUAAAUUCUCUUAAUUAUUCUGAGCUGCUUGAGGGCACAGGCGCUUGUUGAGUCUUGUACCACUAAGUUUCUAGUAUAUUCCUUAAUGGCUAGCCAACCCUAAAUAAAAUGGAGUGAGCAACGUGUAGAUAUCUUUAUGAAGUUUCCUAGGUUAUUGGUCUCUCAAGUAGAGUUCCUUGUGUGCAUGCUAGUGCUCAGUGCUCUGGGUUAGCACUGUCCAGAGAAGCUGCUGCAGUAAUGCAAAUGCGCAUCUCUGCUGACCAGUAUGGUAGCCACUAAUCAUAUAUUAUAGUUGAGCGCUGGAAAUGUGGCUAGUGUGACUAAAAACUUCAUUUUUGAUUUUAUGUGAUUUAAACUUAAAUUGCCACUCUGGGCGGUGUAGCUGUAGCCACAAACUUGCUGGUGAAUUGCAGAAUACUUAAUAUGGGCAUUGGUAAUUUUCUCUUCAUACUGAGCUGCAAGGAAAUAAAAGUUGAACCUCCCUGGCCCAUUUAGGGUUUUUUUUAUCUUGCUUGUUUCAUUUUACCCAUUUCUGUACUUCAGCUUUACUUAGCUGGGCGCUAAAUCCAACAAACCAUUACUAAAUAUAAACCUGCCUUGGACAAUGGUGUUGAGAAAGCAAGUGUUGACUAGAUUUCAAAAAAAAAAAGGAUGUGUAAUCAAUUUCAGGAAAGUGGGGUUUUAUUAAACUGUAAUAGUGACACAGGUUAGUGAGGAACAGGACUGUAUCUGAUACUAAUGAAACUAGCCCUGAAUUUCAGUCCUACAAGUUUUCGUUUUUGAAAAAUGUUCAUCAGAGGAGGGCCUAAGUAUCUCAAGUUACAGGAAACCCUCACAAAGUAGAUUUUGUCCUGAUGAAGUAUAAAUUAACACCAGAACACUUUUUGAUGUAUGGGGUAAUACAGCAUCUUGUAAAUUUCAAGUACAGUUUUGAAAGACAAGUGUUUUUACUUAAAAUUUCUCCUUAGGAUAGGGGUCUUCAAAUCUUCAGUGCACACAGUUUGUUUGCUAUUUAGGACAAAUUCCCAGUCCCGCACCCAGGAAUCCUGAAUUUAGUUAGGACAUCAGAAGGGCAAUGGCACUAGAUUUCUGUGUCUUUUUCAAGUUCCUUAUUUGCUAUUGAUGGAGGCCCAGAAAUCACACUGCAAAUUUAGCCCAGGGCUAUAGUAUGCCAAUUACAACUUAAGAGAAGCAACUCACCUCCCUGAUACUAUAUAUCUCCUCUACUUUGUCCCUAAUUUUUUACUCAACUAUUUACUUUUUAUCCUCCAAAAAACUGACUGGGAAAACAUUCUGAGAGGCAGAGAGUAGUAAUAUUUAAUAGUUUUGGGAUUUUUGAGGUCAGAUUGUUUUUCUUUUAAAGAAAAAGUUAAAAUAUUCCAAGUAGUUUUUUGAACAAGUGCUCCCUUUUUUGUUUGUUCCCACUAAAUGAAUUCCUCCAGGAUAUGGGUUUAUUUUGAUUCCAGAGUACCUGAACAAACAGCUGUGUAAUCAGUAAAUGUGUUGAGAUUGGUUUUCAAAUAACAGGGCCACAAAACAUAGAAACAUUUCCUUUUAUGGAGAGAAAUUUAGGGCCAUAUUUAAUCCAAGUAUCCUAAUAUUCUAUUCAUAAAGUAAACUAAUACUUGUGAUCUCUGAAUACAGCUGUCUACCAUUCAGCUCUUUCUUUGGUUUCCUGUACAAACCAUUGAUUGCAGUUACCCUCUUCCUGAACUUAAUUUCCUUGGCCUUUAUUACUUUUCAAAUAAAUCAGCUACCUAUCUCGCUUUGAAGUAGAGCCGUAUUUCUUGUAUUUCUAGGACAAAAAUUAAGUAUAUUGAAUACUUGUACUUAUGUGAGAAAGUUGAAGAUUUUCUAAGAGCUUUUAAUUUGCAAGAUUAGAACUACAUAAUGUUUCUUCCAUAUUUUUUUAUGCAUGGAGGAGAUCCAGUAUAAUUCUGAUGCGUAACUGUUAAUCCAGAAUAAAAGGGAUGAGCAUCCCAAGGGUAAGACAAAUUUGAUGGUUUCAAGCCAAUCUUAAUUGUAGAGCCCUGAUGGUCAUAUAUCCAGGAGUCUGCCACUUUACUUUGCAGGCUGAGAAUUCUUGCUUUUGUUAGUUUACCUAGUGGCAUACUACUUAAUAUUGGACGAUGUACUUCCCCAGAAAAUUUUUUUUUUCCUUGUCCUUGGCUUCCCAUUCUUGAUGGAAUGGGUGAGAAACUUGGAUUAUUAACUGUUAGUAGCAUGGAAUCAAGUACUUAGGCUUAUUUUAUUUAGGCCAGGGUUGAACCUGAUAAAUUAUUCCUGGUAUGGUGUUAAAUGCUUUAUUAAGGACUAGAGGGACUGUUUCUGCCUCUCUGUCUCAGAGUCAUGGUUAUAUUUAAUAGUCCUGCUUUCCAGCUUUAAACCUGGAGUUCACAGUGACCCCUGACCUUUAGUUUGUCCUGGUACUUAAUCCCUCUUUGUUUUCUAGUUUCUCAGUUUUGCUUUUUGGUUUUUCACUAUGUUCAGGAUUGGCUCUCCCUGCUGAUAACAGUAACAUCUUUUUAGAUCACAUUUAUAGAACUGGUUAUUUUACCAAGUAAACCACCCUGCACCUCUAGUUAUGGAUUCUGGUCACCUCGGUCAACAUUUCACUGACUUUCCUGUUUUUACUGAGCUUUGGUUAAAAUCUCAUCUCAGAAUUUUUAUUAUAAUAAAUAAUAGCCACAUAAUCCGGUACAUAUACUAUUGGUAAAAGCUAACUGAAACAAAGGUUAGAAGAAAUGAAUAAUAUUAAGUGCCAAUUAUGUACCACCUAGUGUGCCAAACUCUGCUGAGUAUUUAGUGUGGUCCUGAUAAAUAAAACCCCUUCUUACCAAGUAGGAAACUAAAGCUCAGUGAGGUUGAACAACUUCCCUGUAAACACACCAAUGAAUUGAGGGCCAGGGAUUCAAAUUCUGGCCUGAUUUGCUUAUUCCCUAGCAGAUAAGGUACUACUUUUAUCUGGUGGAAAGUGACAGGAAAUUUAAUCUGGCUGCAGGAUACAGGAUGUGCUGUAGGGAUGGAAAAAUUUGAAGGCACAGAAACCACUUAAAUUCAUAUAUAGCAAGUAUAGGACUAAUGUCAGAAUGCCAGUCCGUGGGAAGGGUCUCAGCACAUCACUCCUCAAGGAAGCCUUCCUGAUGCCCUCAACUGUUAAACUGGGUCUCCAAUUUGAAUGUUUGGUCAUAGUACUUCUUGCAGUUGUAAUUAAAUUAAUAAUUGUAUAAUUGGUUUUCUUCACCCUACUUUUUAAUGUUGUUCCUUGGGUACUGGAUGUGUAUGGAGGUCUUCAGAGUCAAAAUUUAAUACUAAGAUGAUAUUUACCUUUUAGUACAUUCUCACAAGGGUACAGAGGCUGCAUGAUGUAUAAUGGCAUCAUCACUGGUGUUAAUUGAAUAAUACCAUAUAUUCUUGAAUGUUCCACAAUGUCCUCUGGUGAUAGAUAUAGGGGGAUUAAUAUUUGUGCUUUUAGAAAUUAACUUACUUUUUAGGUUAUACUUCUAUAAUCCAGGUAAUGAUUUUAAAGUCCAGAAAAAACUUUAGCUACACCUUAGAAUUUAAUAGCUUUAUUCUAAAAUAAGCCCCAGUUUGUUUUCUUAAGAAUGGAUCACUGGCUUAAAGAUUUUAAGACUAUAUGUUCAAGUCACAGCUACAUCAUCUAUGUCUAAAAAUGAUGAAGAGAUGAAGUUAAUAUAUCACAAUGUUGUCUGGCUCCAGGAGGAAUCAAAACUCCAAAGCAGCAGUAAGAAAAAGUUACUGAAGUAUGUAAAAGGAUAUAUUAUUGCAUGACGUUGGCUGGAGAAACUUUCACAUGAUAUCUGAGAAACUUUACAAAAAGCCACAUACAGUUGACAUUGCUGAAUGUCUGCUGGAUGGACAGUAAAUAAUCACAGCAGUGCCACUGUUUUAACACAGGAACCUGCCAUAUUAAGGAUUUGUGUGUA